GGUUCCUUAGUUCAGUAGGUAGAACGGUGCACUGUUAAUGCAUAUGUCGCUGGUUCAAGUCCAGCAGGAACCG
rnacentral:tRNA from 3 species